GAACGAGAAAGUGGAGCAAUCCAUGAGUAAAGUGGCGACCGGGUGAGUAACACGUGACUAACCUACCUCCGAAUGGGGAAUAACUCCGGGAAACCGGGGCUAAUACCGCAUAACACCGCAAGGUCAAAGCAGCAAUGCGUUUGGAGAGGGGGUCGCGGCCGAUUAGCUAGUUGGCGGGGUAACGGCCCACCAAGGCAAUGAUCGGUAGCCGGCCUGAGAGGGCGCACGGCCACACUGGAACUGAAACACGGUCCAGACUCCUACGGGAGGCAGCAGUGGGGAAUUUUGCGCAAUGGGGGAAACCCUGACGCAGCAACGCCGCGUGGAGGAUGAAGCCCUUUGGGGCGUAAACUCCUUUCGAUCGGGACGAUUAUGACGGUACCGGAUGAAGAAGCACCGGCUAACUCUGUG
rnacentral:rRNA from 1 species